UGGCUCUCGCAUCGAUGAAGAACGCAGCGAAAUGCGAUAAGUAAUGUGAAUUGCAGAAUUCAGUGAAUCAUCGAAUCUUUGAACGCACCUUGCGCCACGUGGUAUUCCACGGGGCACGCCUGUUUGAGUGUCACGUUAACCAUCGCGUCGUGGAUUGAACCUUUGGCUCUCUCGGGAGCUGAUCAGUAUGUCUGCGGGGCGGAUUUGGAGGCUUGCCGUGUGAACGGCUCCUCUCGAAAUGCAUUAGCUGUCUGAAGACCGCGCCGCUGGUGUGAUAAUUUAUUUUGCGCCUAAUGGAACGGUGUUGAAGGUGGCUCAUAAACCGCCCGCGAGGGCAAUAAUUUUAAGCUUUGACCUCAAAUCAGGUGGGACUACCCGCUGA
rnacentral:misc_RNA from 1 species